AGGGUUUGAUCCUGGCUCAGGACGAACGCUGGCGGCGUGCCUAAUACAUGCAAGUCGAGCGGGGGUCUUCGGACCCUAGCGGCGGACGGGUGAGUAACACGUAGGCAACCUGCCCGCAAGACCGGGAUAACAUAGGGAAACUUAUGCUAAUACCGGAUAGGGUCUUGUUCCGCAUGGGACGAGACGGAAAGAUGGCGCAAGCUAUCACUUGCGGAUGGGCCUGCGGCGCAUUAGCUAGUUGGUGGGGUAACGGCCUACCAAGGCGACGAUGCGUAGCCGACCUGAGAGGGUGACCGGCCACACUGGGACUGAGACACGGCCCAGACUCCUACGGGAGGCAGCAGUAGGGAAUUUUCCACAAUGGACGGAAGUCUGAUGGAGCAACGCCGCGUGAACGAAGAAGGUCUUCGGAUUGUAAAGUUCUGUUGUCAGGGACGAACAAGUACCGUUCGAACAGGGCGGUACCUUGACGGUACCUGACGAGAAAGCCACGGCUAACUACGUGCCAGCAGCCGCGGUAAUACGUAGGUGGCAAGCGUUGUCCGGAAUUAUUGGGCGUAAAGCGCGCGCAGGCGGUCAGAUAAGUCUGGUGUUAAAGCCCGGGGCUCAACCCCGGUACGCAUUGGAAACUGUCUGACUUGAGUGCAGAAGAGGAAAGCGGUAUUCCACGUGUAGCGGUGAAAUGCGUAGAGAUGUGGAGGAACACCAGUGGCGAAGGCGGCUUUCUGGUCUGUAACUGACGCUGAGGCGCGAAAGCGUGGGGAGCAAACAGGAUUAGAUACCCUGGUAGUCCACGCCGUAAACGAUGAGUGCUAGGUGUUGGGGGUUUCAAUACCCUCAGUGCCGCAGCUAACGCAAUAAGCACUCCGCCUGGGGAGUACGCUCGCAAGAGUGAAACUCAAAAGGGAAAUUGACGGGGGCCCGCUCAAGCGGGUGGAGCAGGUGGUUUAAUUUGGAAGCAACGCGAAGAACCUUACCAGGUCUUGACAUCCCGCUGACCGUCCUAGAGAUAGGGCUUCCCUUCGGGGCAGCGGUGACAGGUGGUGCAUGGUUGUCGUCAGCUCGUGUCGUGAGAUGUUGGGUUAAGUCCCGCAACGAGCGCAACCCUUAUCUUUAGUUGCCAGCAUUCAGUUGGGCACUCUAGAGAGACUGCCGUCGACAAGACGGAGGAAGGCGGGGAUGACGUCAAAUCAUCAUGCCCCUUAUGACCUGGGCUACACACGUGCUACAAUGGCUGGUACAACGGGAAGCGAGCUCGCGAGAGUAAGCCAAUCUCUUAAAACCAGUCUCAGUUCGGAUUGCAGGCUGCAACUCGCCUGCAUGAAGUCGGAAUCGCUAGUAAUCGCGGAUCAGCAUGCCGCGGUGAAUACGUUCCCGGGCCUUGUACACACCGCCCGUCACACCACGAGAGUUUGCAACACCCGAAGUCGGUGAGGUAACCUAAACCACCCCAAAAAGUAUUACUUUUUGGGGACCCCGGUUGGGAGCCAGCCGCCGAAGGUGGGGUAGAUGAUUGGGGUGAAGUCGUAACAAGGUAAC
rnacentral:rRNA from 1 species